rfam:Pongo abelii chromosome 8.
AAGACCAUACUUUCAGGGAUUAUUUCUGCAGUUCAUUACUAAAGAAGUUUCUAUGAAUGUGUAGAGCAAAACAAAAACAAAAACAGAAACAAAAUUCUAGCUGU